rnacentral:rRNA from 1 species
GAGGGAAAGUUGAAAAGAACUUUGAAGAGAGAGUUCAAAAGUACGUGAAACUGUUUAGAGGUAAACGGAUGGGACCGCAAGCUGCCCUCUGGAAUUCAACCUCGCCUUCCCUAGAUUUCGUCUCCAUUCGGAUCGCUGGCUCGACUCGUUCGAGCGACGUGACCGAUGGGUGGCGAAGACCGAUGGGUCGGUGGGUGCAUUUUCUCGGGGGCCAGUGCCAGGACCGGUUCGGGGGUGGCCAUAAACUGCUCGCGACAAGGUAGGUUCGUCUCUCGUGGGCGAACCGUUUAGGUAUGGGCAGAGGCGGCCGCACUCCCGGACCGAGGAAUGAAUUUUACACGCCGCGGCGCGGGCCCCGGUCCCUCGCCAUCUGAUUCGACUCGCCAGGACUGUUCUAUGUGCUGGCGGACUGGCAGUGGUGCAGCGGUUCGGUUCUCCCGUGUACGCCCAGGGUCUCUGGCCAGCCGGUCGGCACCCCAUCCGACCCGUCUUGAAACACGGACCAAGGAGUCUAACAUGUGCGCGAGUCAAGGGGUGAUAAAAACCCAAAGGCGCAACGAAAGUGAAGGAGGGCACGGCUCGGCUCGCCGCAGCCUGCCCCAGGUAGGAUCCCUCGUUUCCGCGGGGGCGCACUACCGGCCCGUCUCGCCUCGGGGCGAGGCGGCGCUAGAGCGUACACGUUGGGACCCCA